rnacentral:rRNA from 1 species
UACGUAGGGGGCAAGCGUUGUCCGGAUUUAUUGGGCGUAAAGAGCGUGUAGGCGGCCAGACAGGUCCGUUGUGAAAACUCGAGGCUCAACCUCGAGAUGUCGAUGGAAACCGUCUGGCUAGAGUCCGGAAGAGGAGUGUGGAAUUCCUGGUGUAGCGGUGAAAUGCGCAGAUAUCAGGAGGAACACCUAUGGCGAAGGCAGCACUCUGGGACGGUACUGACGCUGAGACGCGAAAGCGUGGGGAGCGAACAGG